ACCUUUUUGUCUACAUAUAUGUCUACCUUUAUGUCUACCUUUUGUCUGAACAGACAACAUUGAAAAGGCAGUAGCAAUAGACGUGGAAUGAACAUUUAUGGUCAGCAUAAAGCUAUAAGUACGUAGAGUUAUCAAAAUAAACCAAAAAACAUUUUCACAAGGCAAUAAAGAGCUUUACCUUUGCGUGCGUAGUUGGAUGUCAUGACAAUACAUAUAUUUACACAUAAGGUGUCAGAUUACGAAAGGAGGGAACGAUGUAGGUAAGUUUUUGUAUUUUACUGUAUCGUAUCUGUUCAUGAUGAGAAAGGGAAAAUAUGCGUUUGCUUAUAGGCAUUUACGACACAAACUUUCAAGCCUUGGAUAAAUUUAUUAGGUUGAUGGAGAUUUUACCUAAUAGUUAAAGUUCUUCAAGCUUCGUGCAACGCAUAUUACAUGAUAAAAUUAUACGAUAAACUUUAUCCAUUAUUUAGCGACCUUUGUGCAACCGACCCCUGGUAGCAAAGCACAUGCAUCUUGUGCUAUUGAUGAAGACUGGAGCCAGUGGUCGUUCAUCGUGAGCAGUUAAUAGGGAUUUGAAGUAUAACCACAUGGACUGGUUCAAGCCGUACGCGAUCCCGCGCAGCGAACGGGCAUUUCGUACAACAAACGUGUCCGGAUGCGCGUUGAUCAUGUUCUCUCCAGCCCAACCUCCGAGUGCAAACUGUAAGAUACCUUUGUUACGACGUUUUAUCUCGCUCGAGUACCACAUGACCUUGACGAAGUCCGGUGAUAGGAUCGCAUCUUCCUCGAUGAACAAAAUAUCGCGAUCGUAACCGUGCAGUAGGCCAUUGAAGAUUGUUUCUGUGCAUUAAAUAGAGGUAUUUUGAGCUAUGAAGUGAAGACUGGUCCAUCUCACCGUCAACAGUUGGUGGGUAAGUCUUCCUAUACAUGUCAAUGUGGUAUCUGCUCAUGAGGGGAAAGGAAAACUAUUCGUUUGUUUUUUUUCCAUCUAUCAGCAGCGUAUUGCUUCCUGUUUUUCCAAAACUCACGUUACUGAUUUGAUGCAAUUUUUACAAAGUGAAACUAAAUAACAUCAUUGGCUCACAAACA